rnacentral:lncRNA from 1 species
CUAGCUCAUGUUUGUUACUGGCCACAGAAUCAGAAAUCAUCUGAUGAGGAAGAGAGUGAUAGUGAUGCUGCUGAAGAAGAAGACCAUGAAGAAAAAGAAUGCAUUGGCAAUGAAGACAGGAAAGAACAAGAUGAAGCAGAGCAUGUUGAUAAUCAAGCAACUGAAAAUAAGGAACAGAGCAAUAAAUCAUUUGAGAGUGAGGAAAAUAAUCUGACGGCUGUAGAAACAAUAGAGGAUCAAAAGUCAUCUAAUGAGGACGAGGAAGAGGUUGAGGACGAGGAGGAGGAAGAUGGCAUUGAUGAUUACUAUUGUGAAAAAAAGGAUACAGACAAACAGGAAGAAAAGGAUAAAGCAAAACAUGAUGAUCAAACUUCUGAGGAUGAGGGACACAGCAGAAAAUUAUGUGAGAAUGAGGAAAAGAAUCCUAUGACUACAGAAACAAUAGAGAAAGAAGAGGCUAUUCCAGAGGAUGACACAACUAAGCAAGAGAAUAAGAAGGCUGAAGUCCAUACUGCAAGCAAUUCUUCACAAGCCGUUACAGACACUCAUGACAGAUCAUCUGGACGACUCCUUGAGAAGGCAAAAAGGUUUUCUUUCUUUAAACGAAAAUCUUCAAAGCAGAAGAAUGCACCCAGCGGUGAUGAAAACAAACUUGAAAAGCUACCUCACAGUGAGAAAGAAACUGGAAAUCAAACAGGUAUAUCUGAGGAAAAGAGUAAAGAUGAAAACCAGAACCACACCAGCGAAAAUCAAAAUGAGCCACCACGAGGAAAUAGGGACAGAAAAGCAUCCUCUACUUGUGUAAUACUUUAAUAUUGAAAUAUAUGAUGCUUGUAUAUAUACAAUGCCACAGUUGGCAAUUUGCAAGCAAAUAUUGCAGUUUAUACUUGAAAACAAUAAUGGCAUAUAUGUAAUGAUUAUAAUGAUGGGGGUUGCAAAAUUAGCAUGUUUGGACUGAUUUAUUUCAAUUUGGGACCAACUUCCUAGUAUUUAUUUGUAUUUGUAACUCUAGUUAUUGCAAUAGCUAUGGCUAUCACAGUCUCACUGAAGUGUUGUGGCCUUAACUCUUAAGUGUUUUAAUAAAAAUAUAUUUUUAUACAUGAAAAGUUGGGAAAGGCAUGUUAUUGUUUCCUAAGCACUUCUACAACUGCUAGCAUACUCUGUAAAUGUUCUUUUGAUUCAGGAAGAGAGCCA